UACGUAGGGUGCGAGCGUUAAUCGGAAUUACUGGGCGUAAAGCGUGCGCAGGCGGUUGUGCAAGACAGAUGUGAAAUCCCCGGGCUUAACCUGGGAACUGCAUUUGUGACUGCACGGCUAGAGUGUGUCAGAGGGGGGUAGAAUUCCACGUGUAGCAGUGAAAUGCGUAGAGAUGCGGAGGAACACCGAUGGCGAAGGCAGCCCCCUGGGCUAGCACUGACGCUCAGGCACGAAAGCGUGGGGAGCAAACAGG
rnacentral:rRNA from 1 species